rfam:Colletotrichum gloeosporioides Nara gc5 unplaced genomic scaffold scaffold303, whole genome shotgun sequence.
AAUGGUUUAGUGGUAUAAUACUCGCUUAGCAUGUGAGUGGUCCAGGGUUCGAUUCCCUGUU